UGAUCAUGGCUCAGAUUGAACGCUGGCGGCAUGCUUUACACAUGCAAGUCGAACGGUAACAGGGAGCUUGCUCCGCUGACGAGUGGCGAACGGGUGAGUAAUAUAUCGGAACGUACCCAAGAGUGGGGGAUAACGUAGCGAAAGUUACGCUAAUACCGCAUACGAUCUACGGAUGAAAGCAGGGGACCGCAAGGCCUUGUGCUCCUGGAGCGGCCGAUAUCUGAUUAGCUAGUUGGUAGGGUAAAGGCCUACCAAGGCAUCGAUCAGUAGCUGGUCUGAGAGGACGACCAGCCACACUGGAACUGAGACACGGUCCAGACUCCUACGGGAGGCAGCAGUGGGGAAUUUUGGACAAUGGGCGCAAGCCUGAUCCAGCAAUGCCGCGUGAGUGAAGAAGGCCUUCGGGUUGUAAAGCUCUUUUGUCAGGGAAGAAACGGUUGCGGCUAAUAUCCGCAGCUAAUGACGGUACCUGAAGAAUAAGCACCGGCUAACUACGUGCCAGCAGCCGCGGUAAUACGUAGGGUGCAAGCGUUAAUCGGAAUUACUGGGCGUAAAGCGUGCGCAGGCGGUUUUGUAAGUCUGUUGUGAAAUCCCCGGGCUUAACCUGGGAAUGGCAAUGGAGACUGCAAGGCUAGAGUUUGGCAGAGGGGGGUAGAAUUCCACGUGUAGCAGUGAAAUGCGUAGAGAUGUGGAGGAACACCGAUGGCGAAGGCAGCCCCCUGGGUCAAAACUGACGCUCAUGCACGAAAGCGUGGGGAGCAAACAGGAUUAGAUACCCUGGUAGUCCACGCCCUAAACGAUGUCUACUAGUUGUCGGGUCUUAAUUGACUUGGUAACGCAGCUAACGCGUGAAGUAGACCGCCUGGGGAGUACGGUCGCAAGAUUAAAACUCAAAGGAAUUGACGGGGACCCGCACAAGCGGUGGAUGAUGUGGAUUAAUUCGAUGCAACGCGAAAAACCUUACCUACCCUUGACAUGGCAGGAAUCCCCGAGAGAUCGGGGAGUGCUCGAAAGAGAACCUGCACACAGGUGCUGCAUGGCUGUCGUCAGCUCGUGUCGUGAGAUGUUGGGUUAAGUCCCGCAACGAGCGCAACCCUUGUCAUUAGUUGCUACGAAAGAGCACUCUAAUGAGACUGCCGGUGACAAACCGGAGGAAGGUGGGGAUGACGUCAAGUCCUCAUGGCCCUUAUGGGUAGGGCUUCACACGUCAUACAAUGGUACAUACAGAGGGCCGCCAACCCGCGAGGGGGAGCUAAUCCCAGAAAGUGUAUCGUAGUCCGGAUUGUAGUCUGCAACUCGACUGCAUGAAGUUGGAAUCGCUAGUAAUCGCGGAUCAGCAUGUCGCGGUGAAUACGUUCCCGGGUCUUGUACACACCGCCCGUCACACCAUGGGAGCGGGUUUUACCAGAAGUAGGUAGCUUAACCGUAAGGAGGGCGCUUACCACGGUAGGAUUCGUGACUGGGGUGAAGUCGUAACAAGGUAUCCAA
rnacentral:rRNA from 1 species